rnacentral:lncRNA from 1 species
CAGAGAGAUCGGACCCUCUAACAAACACCGGAUGUGCUUUACUUUACCGACACACAAGACGAUCCACGAAGGACUUGAUAUGGUUAUUUUUCUCGAACGUAACCACUCGCGACCACGAGUGAUUAAUAGCAAAAGAGGCGGAUCCUGGAUGAGUCGUACUGCAUGACCUGAUUUCUGAGAGUGACAAGCCCGUCCUUCACCGUAGCGAGAUCAUUCACCUCCUCGUACCAGAAACAAAACCCGUCCUUGAUCCGUUCAUCGCAGUGAGCAAGAGUAGAAGAAAAGGAGCGACACAUCAAUCCCACACCCGAAGGUUACAACAAAAAAAGAAAAAAACUUUGCGCCCACUGGCGUUAAUUUUAGUACAGGGAGAGGCAGAGAGGGAGACGCAUGUGUUCUCCCGGCCGGUCUGGUCCAGUUCAGCGGCAAGAUCCGGACGGAGAGCGAGAGCUCUAUCACUCUAUGUGCUCUACGGUCUACGGUGUGCUGGCCAAUAUUCCGCUUGCCGCCUAGCAGUAGCAUCACUGCGAAAAAGCGGAGGACACCGGCAUGUGCCCGGCUCGAGCGACGUGAUCUGGCUCCUCCCUCCGCGUGCCUGCGUGCGCCCCUCUUCGCAACCAACACCACCUACCAGUGGGCACUUCACUGGGCAGUGGGCAGCAGUAGCAAGUAGCGACCCUGAAAAGCUGGACGCCGCGCGCCCUCUCCUAUGAUUGCACCCACGCAGGAGCCUGCAAGCGCCCGGUAUCGAUCCGGCACGGCGCGCGUGCGUGCAUUGCAUACUGCACGCUAAUCCUUAAUCCUUUGGAUCCUUUUCCCCGGC